GGUCACAAAGCACAAGGAGUAAAAUAGACUUUUAAUGUGGAGCGAUCUUAGAAUUUGGUAUGUUUGUCUUGUAAGCUUAAUAGCCAUAAAAGAAAACAAAAUUGCCACACAAAAGUAUAUAUUUAUAUAAAGUAGACAUCACGGGCUAUUUACCUAAGGUUGUUUUGACACUUUCUACGUAGCCAUUUCACCGCCAACCUCUGCUAAAUAUUGGAGUAAAAUUGUGUUUUUUGGGGGUUUUUGGCACACAAACUUAUAACAAAGAAAUUCUCAUGUAUAUUUUGUAAAGUUGGUGUGUGCUAUUCCUGUACAAAGUUUUAUUUUGUGUUCAGUUACAUCUGCUGAGUAAAAUGACACCCCCA